GACGUAGGGCGCGAGCGUUUGUCCGGAUUUACUGGGUUUAAAGGGUGCGCAGGCGGAUAUGUAAGUCAGUGGUGAAAUCUCUAGGCUUAACCUGGAAAUUUGCCGUUGAUACUAUAUAUCUUGAAUGUUGUGGAGGUAAGCAGAAUAUGUCAUGUAGCGGUGAAAUGCUUAGAGAUGACAUAGAAUACCUAUUGCGAAGGCAGCUUACUACGCAGAUAUUUGACGCUCAUGCACGAAAGCGUGGGGAUCAAACAGGA
rnacentral:rRNA from 1 species